CUGCUCGUAUGACCAGUUUUGGUGAUCCCAUCUGUCCUUGUGACCUACGGGCUUAGCAAAGCAUCUGGCAGGUGUUCAGUAAAUGUUUGUGGAAUGAAUUAAGGCAUAUCCAAACUCUAGGGAGCCAAGAAGCCAUGACAGAGGUAAAGAGGGUCCACUGGACCUCCAGAAUCCAAGAGGUUUCAAGCCAAGAAGAUACAAAGAUAGAUCAUAAUAACAGCUUUGCAGGAAAUCUAUGAAUAGAGGGUACAGAAAUCACAUGAGCCAUCACUUUGAAUAACAAGCUUGGACACCAGACCUCAAAAGAAAAUGAGAAUUCGGGGACACACAUGCGCACAGAUGCUCGCACAGCAUUUUUCAACACGAAGGUAUAAAGAUGAGAAAACUCAGCUUUGGCCAAGUAAAUGGUUUCAUCAAGGAUUCCCAGCUGCUGACUGCAGUACCGAGAAACUGCAACCACCAUAUGAACAAGCUCAAGCCUACAGGAGAAGAGAAACCAAGUGCCCACAUGCCUCCACCACCCCAACCACCAGCGAUCAGUUAUCCCCCAGAAAUGGAACCAUCCUGACUACAUGUGAGUGAGCCCAGCCCAAAUCACCAGCCCACAGGAUCAGCAGGUUAUACUGCUUUCCGUCCUCCUGUCAGAUACCAGUGUUCCCCAUCCACUGGGAAAGGCUGGCACAGUAAAUUAACGAGAGCAAGGAACCCUGAACACAAAUACAGCCAUAACUCUAAGCCUUGGUGAGAGGCAGCUUCUUCGUGGGCUCUUAGGCUGGAAGCUUCUUGGAGACAGCAGCUGCGAAUCAGUUAUCGCCAUACCUCCAACCUUGGCCUUGGCUUGAUGCACAGUAGAUACAUGAUACUUCUUGAAUGACAAAUGAACAAAUAAUCAAUAAACACUUGUGAGUCUGGAGUUC